AAAAAUUAAGUAGAAGAUCCACGAUCUGCACCGAUACACAGAGGAAGGUAUUUCAACAACUUACAACAAAAAGUCAAAAAGGGAAUCGCUCUCUUGCUGCGAUUCAUGAGUGAAAAUUCAAGAAAGUACUAUUAAAGUCAACGAUCACUCUCGAGAUACGAGGUGACUACCAUUCUUUAUCGACUUGAAGCUAGCCAGAUGACGAGUUGAUGUAGACCCUUAAAUGAUUAUACUCGGGUUGAACUUAUAAUCAUCUUUAAGGACUCUCCACAUCGACGCUACUCGCGCAGUCGAAGAGCUCCUGAUUUCC